rnacentral:rRNA from 1 species
AUUCCGGUUGAUCCUGCCAGAGGCCACUGCUAUCGGAGUUCGAUUAAGCCAUGCGAGUCGAGAGGUGAAAGACCUCGGCAUACUGCUCAGUAACACGUGGAUAACCUACCCUAAGGUGGGAGAUAACCCCGGGAAACUGGGGAUAAUACCCCAUAGUCUAUGGAAGCUGGAAUGCUCUAUAGUCGAAAGAUUUAUCGCCUUAGGAUGGGUCUGCGGCCGAUUAGGUAGUUGUUGGGGUAACGGCCCAACAAGCCUUUGAUCGGUACGGGUUGUGGGAGCAAGAGCCCGGAGAUGGAUUCUGAGACAC